rnacentral:rRNA from 1 species
GGUUUGGUGGUCAUAGCACGAGCAAAACACCUGGCUCCAUUCCGAACCCAGCCGUUAAGUGCCGUAGCGCUGAUGGUACUGCGUCUUAAGACGUGGGAGAGUAAGUCACCGCCAAACCU